UACGAAGGGGGCUAGCGUUGCUCGGAAUCACUGGGCGUAAAGCGCACGUAGGCGGAUUGUUAAGUCAGGGGUGAAAUCCUGGAGCUCAACUCCAGAACUGCCUUUGAUACUGGCGAUCUUGAGUCCGGGAGAGGUGAGUGGAACUGCGAGUGUAGAGGUGAAUUCGUAGAUAUUCGCAAGAACACCAGUGGCGAAGGCGGCUCACUGGCCCGGUACUGACGCUGAGGUGCGAAAGCGUGGGGAGCAAACAGG
rnacentral:rRNA from 1 species